ACCCAGCACUCUUUCCACUGUGGCACCUAGCUACCUACAUUGAGGAGGAUCCCAAGGUCCAGGAAGGGGAAGGGAUUUGUCCAAGGUCACCUAGCAGGAGCUGUAAUUCCCCAAAGAAGCAAUUUGGGAAAGUGAUUUGUUUGUCUGUAUAAUUGCCAAAGCAGUGCCUUCCACUUGUUUGUUUUUCUGAGCUCCUGUUACUACCAGAAAGAGACACUUCUCUCCUUUUUAUUAGUCCAUUUCGAGUCUGACAUCUCCGAGGCCCCGGCCACUCCGACUGGGAGGGAACUUGGAGUCAUCUAGCCGAGGAGCUGGAAGGGGCCUCCAGGAUCACUGCCUUCAAGCCACUCAACAGAUGAAGGAUCUCAGCUGCUCCUUCUGGAAAGGAAUUGAGAGCUGGAGAACGUUAGAAUAGAGAGGACCUGUUUAGACCGCCAUUGUCAUGGGGUUUUUGACAUGGGAAGAAAUGGAGGUUCUAGAGUAGAGAUAGUUCUAACAGGGUAGAGUGUCAGAACUUGGAAGGGGACAUAGAAAAGGGAAUUUCAGAGCUAGAAUAGGUUUUAGAACCUAGAAUGUCAGAGCUAAAAUGAUUCUUAGAAUAUGGAAUGCCAGAGUUUGGUGGGAUUUUAUUAUCAUAAAAUGUCAGAAUUCAGGAGGGCUUAUAGAACAUAGAACAUUAGAGCUGUGAGGUCCCUUAAACAUAGAACAUCAGAUAUUUUAGAGCACAGAACACAGAAAAUCAGAGCUGGAAGAGAUUCUAGAAAUAACCUUGUCUGAUUCAUUUGACAGGUGAAGAAACAUAAAUCAUAGACAGGCUUAGACAGAACUUUCAAGGCUAUGUGAUCCAACGAUCUAAUUUUUUGGAUGAAAAUAAUCAAAACUUAAGGAUGCUACAGGACUCAUCCAAGGUUACACUGAGUGACUUGCUACAUGACUUUGAACAAGUCACUUCGCUUCUCUUGGACUCAUCUGCGUCUCCUUAUCUGACAUAUUGGCCAGAGAAGAGCCUGAAAAAAACAUUUUGAUAUCCUUAACUUGAGCUCUCCUCCCACUGCUACUGUGGUUCUACUCUGCACUUGUACAUUUGUCUUCCAUUGAUGGGCUUGAUGGAGGAUUUGCUUCCCACUUCUGUCCUUGUUCUUAAAGGGUAAGUUGACUAGUGGGUUGAAUAUGCUUCCACAUUCAGGUUAUUGAACAAACUCCCUUUUCUCUUUGUAUGGGCAUACUUUCUCCUUAUGUUCACAGAGUUUCAUUCCCUUCAAAUUCCCCUUCCUAUAAUUUUAUACUGGAUGGGAAAAUGAUGCUUGUUUUGUACCCGAUUUUACUAUACACAUUGCCCUUCAAUAGUAGGUAAUCUCUGACAUUAUUCAAUGGAGACAUGUUGAAAAAGUGAUGAAAAGAGUAAAUUCGAUUAUUUAGAACUUCUGGUAUUUUUCCCUUUAUUUCCUUGGGCUGAACACCUUGGAGAAAUCUAAGGAUAUUCAAGUGUGAAGGUGAGGCGGCAGUGCAUUUCAAACAUGGGGUCAGUCCCUGAAUAGCUACGAUGGUAGAAAACAGAAUGCUUAUUUCAUGGACAACAAGUAAGUCAGUGUGGCUUAAAUUAAGUUCCUUUUGCCAAAAAAGGAGCUGAGGAAAUUCCACCAUAUUGUGAGACAUGAGUGGCUUCACUAUUUCCCAUAGCCAUGUGAUAGCUCCAAGAAUUUCACUUAUUUCAAGCAAUUCCUAUGAUGACUUUAUUAAAAUAGCUUAAUUUAGUCAAGGCAGUCAUUAUCACCACCAUCAGCAGUAGUAUCACUAUUCCUUUUUUUAACAUUUUUUAUAUUUAGAAUAUUUUUCCAUGGUUCCAUGAUUCGUUGUCUCCCUCCCCUCUCCCUUUCCCCCUCCUGGAGCUGGCAAGCAAUUCCACUAGGUUAUACAUGUAUCAUUGUUCAAAACCUAUUUCCAUGUUAUUUGUAUUUGCCAUAGAGUGAACUUUUAACAUCAAAACCCUAAUCAUAUCCCAAUCUAAGUACGUUAUUGAUGAUA
rnacentral:lncRNA from 1 species